rnacentral:rRNA from 1 species
UGCGUAGGCGGACUAAUAAGUCAGUGGUGAAAUCUUUCGGCUCAACCGAGAAACUGCCAUUGAUACUGUUAGUCUUGAGUUCGGUUGAGGUAGGCGGAAUGUGUAAUGUAGCGGUGAAAUGCUUAGAUAUUACACAGAACACCAAUUGCGUAGGCAGCUUACUAGACCGACACUGACGCUGAGGCACGAAAGCGUGGGGAGCGAACAGGAUUAGAUACCCUGGUAGUAC